AAAGUAGGGGAUCGCAAGACCUUACGCUUUUGGAGCGGCCGAUGUCUGAUUAGCUAGUUGGUGGGGUAAUGGCCUACCAAGGCUUCGAUCAGUAGCUGGUCUGAGAGGACGGCCAGCCACACUGGGACUGAGACACGGCCCAGACUCCUACGGGAGGCAGCAGUGGGGAAUUUUGGACAAUGGGCGCAAGCCUGAUCCAGCCAUGCCGCGUGAGUGAAGAAGGCCUUCGGGUUGUAAAGCUCUUUCAGCCGGGAAGAAAAGGUUGCGAUUAAUAAUCGCAAUUCAUGACGGUACCGAAAGAAGAAGCACCGGCUAACUACGUGCCAGCAGCCGCGGUAAUACGUAGGGUGCGAGCGUUAAUCGGAAUUACUGGGCGUAAAGGGUGCGCAGGCGGCUUUGUAAGUCAGAUGUGAAAUCCCCGGGCUUAACCUGGGAAUUGCGUUUGAAACUACAAGGCUAGA
rnacentral:rRNA from 1 species